AAAGUAAAAGGUUCCAAUGGAUUCAGUUCUUGUGGAUUUAGGAAGCUUAUUGAGGUAACUCCUUUGCGUUUAUGAUUUUUCAUCAUCUUAUUUCUUUGUGUUAAAAGUAUAUAUCAGAUUUUUUUUUUUUUUGUCAACAAUACUAGCAAUAUAUAUCAGAUUUAAAAUGGAAAUAUAUGUUCCUUAAAAACUGUCACUACUUUCAACUAUCUUAUAUCCGUUUAACUUUAAAUGAUGUUUUAGCCAAAAAAAAUAAUAUUUUCAUUAUAAGUGAUGUUUUAACU
rnacentral:lncRNA from 1 species